UUCGUGACGUACUGUUAAUUUCCACGUGCAGUGCGGUCUAGAAUGUAACAAAUUAAUUGAUGCGGGAUUGAGGGCUGCGCCACCCGAACGGGGUAACCAACAGAACCUGCGGGCCCCUUAUGGUUAACGUAGGCGGGAGCACUGUGCCCCAGGUUCAGGCAGGACGGGGCGACGGGAAGAUACUACGGAGGUGUACUUCGUAUAAAACCAGGAGUCACGCUCCGAUUUCGUUUUGAAGACACGGACAGGUAGGAACGUAUGGAGAGUAGCUGGUAAUCUUGCGGAAUACUUGUUGUAGUAACCCGUUCGCUAGGGAGUACACCUAGGAACUGGAAUUACUCGGGGAAUUGGGAACUGGUCAGAGUAAUAAAGGGCUAACGGCAACACACUCAACACAGGGAACGACAGGGGUGCAGGUUAACAAAGGUUUUACAGGUACUGGAACGACGGUUAAGGGUACAAAUUAUAUAGGAAUAAAUCACAGGUAAAUAAGGCUGGUUAAUAGCAAAAGGCACUGGUAAAGAUAGAAGCAAAAGCAAAAGUUACAAACACUGGACUGACACAGGUAUAUAUAUCUUGGAGAUCUGGUGGGGAAGACGAUUAGGAGGGGCGAAAUUAAGUGGAAAUAUCUGGGGGAAAUCUCAUUUACUGGUUUUGGGCAGAUUAUUUCCUUACCCUUAAUUUCGUUUCCUCACACACAGCUACUUC